UGGCUCUCACUCCAGACCAUAUCCUGAACUCCUGUAUAACUUGCUACGUAAACGUUUGCCUCUACACACCCUGACGCAAUCAUUUCAGAUUGCAUUACGCCGGGAAAACGACACAGGACGACAGGAGGGGGUCAAUGGCCGGUACGCUUUUAAUUUAGCGUGGGAUUUUGGCUCAUCCUGGCGCAAAGGGAAAGAGAAAUAAUGAUCAUCGCGACGAAAAGCGUGCAGAUUUUUGUGCUUAACUAUGUAAAAAUGAGCAAGCUCACUUUUCAUGUGGGGAUAAAAAGGAGAAAAAUUGAUGAGUACCGAACUGAAGCUCUCUCUGACUACCACGAUCAUUACCCUGGCCCUGAUCGUUGCGGCCGGGCUGACGGCCGUUCUGCACUGAUUU
rfam:Yokenella regensburgei ATCC 43003 genomic scaffold Scfld157, whole genome shotgun sequence.